rnacentral:sRNA from 1 species
GCGCGGGCGGAACGAUGCCCAGGCAUUCUUUCGCCCGCUUGUUUCGAUUGGUAUGAAUGUACUUCGCCAAGCCGCUUCGCGGUCAGAGCGACAUGCAUCAGGCCUGCUUCUUCUUUUCGUCGUUGGGCAGGAAGGACGAGAGCGCCUUGC